rnacentral:rRNA from 1 species
GUGAGCGAUUCUUAUUAGGGGAAGGUGUGUUGUAAAGGAUGAUCCGCCUAUUAAUUUACUUUUAUUAUGUUGGUGUAUAUCUGGUUUAAUAUUAUUGUUUAAUAACUGAAUUUGUGUAUAUUUAUUUAAGCCAAGUCUAUGUGCUGCUUGUAAAAGAUUUCAUGCGUUACAUUUAUAGUUAUAAAUUAUGAGAAUUUAAUUUUUAAUUAGGACUUAAAAGUAAU